UGCAGAUGGAGAACCAGGCACUGAUUCAACAGCUCCUGAGGUCCCAGGAACGUCAUCAGGCACAAUGGAAACUACAUGCUAUAGUAAAUAUACUGAGCUUUAUGCGCCCAUUGUAAUUGAGGAUGACGAUGACUCAGACAGGGUUGAGAGCAAC